rnacentral:lncRNA from 1 species
UGCACCCCAAGGUGAAAAACUUGGUCGAGCGAAACCUCUAUCCGUCAGUUCUUGCAACUGAGCUUUCAACUCCUUUAACUCGGUUGGUGCCAUACGAUACGGAGCUAUCGAAAUCGGCGUAGUCUCAGGUACAAGCUCAAUACCAAACUCUACCUCCCGAACAGGUGGUAAACCCGGUAAUUCUUCCGGAAAAACAUCCGGGUAUUCACAAGCCACCAGCACAG